rnacentral:rRNA from 1 species
UAUCUCUGUAGAGUCUGCAUAUCAAUAAGCGGAGGAAAAGAAACUAACAAGGAUUCCCUUAGUAACGGCGAGUGAAGCGGGAAGAGCUCAAAUUUGAAAUCUUCAAGGUUCUACCUUGACGAAUUGUAGUUUAAAGAAGUGUUUUCUGUUAGAUGAGUAGCAAAAGUUCCUUGGAAUGGGACAUCAUAGAGGGUGAGAAUCCCGUAUUUGGUUAUUCAUUCUAGCUUUGUGAUACACUUUCAAAGAGUCGGAUUGUUUGGGAAUGCAGUCCAAAAUGGGUGGUAAAUUUCAUCUAAAGCUAAAUAUUGGCGAGAGACCGAUAGCGAACAAGUACCGUGAGGGAAAGAUGAAAAGAACUUUGAAAAGAGAGUUAAACAGUACGUGAAAUUGUCAAAAGGGAAGCGUUUGACACCAGUGUUGUUUUUUCCGAAAAUCAAUUACGAAUGGCUUGAUUCUGUGUUGUAUUGACCUUAUCAGCUUUCUUCACUUUUUUCGAGUCUUUCUUAAUGCACUUUUUGGUUAACAAGGUCAACAUCAAUUUCUUUUGUUGUAAAAGAGUAUUCGGAAGGUGGCUUUCUUUUCGGAGAAAGUGUUUAUAGCCCUAUACUUCUACAAUCGGAGAGACUGAGGUCCUGCAGCGUAGAUCCUUCGGGGUUAGAUACACUUUGUGCUAAGUUAGUAGCUUUUCAUAGACAACUUGUUGACUAUGAUUAGUCAUUGUAGGCUUACUCGCUUAGUGCUAUUUUACCUACGCUUAGGAUGUUGAUGAUAUGCGCGACACG